rnacentral:rRNA from 1 species
GACGAACGCUGGCGGCAUGCUUUACACAUGCAAGUCGAACGGUAACAGGCCGCAAGGUGCUGACGAGUGGCGAACGGGUGAGUAAUGCAUCGGAACGUGCCCAGUCGUGGGGGAUAACGCAGCGAAAGCUGCGCUAAUACCGCAUACGAUCUAUGGAUGAAAGCGGGGGACCAUAAGGCCUCGCGCGAUUGGCACGGCCGGUGUCAGAUUAGGUGGUUGGUGGGGUAAAGGCUCACCAAGCCAACGAUCUGUAGCUGGUCUGAGAGGACGACCAGCCACACUGGGACUGAGACACGGCCCAGACUCCUACGGGAGGCAGCAGUGGGGAAUUUUGGACAAUGGGCGCAAGCCUGAUCCAGCAAUGCCGCGUGCAGGAAGAAGGCCUUCGGGUUGUAAACUGCUUUUGUACGGAACGAAACGGCUCUGGUUAAUACCUGGGGCUAAUGACGGUACCGUAAGAAUAAGCACCGGCUAACUACGUGCCAGCAGCCGCCGUAA